UACAGAGGGGGGCAAGCGUUGUUCGGAAUUACUGGGCGUAAAGGGCGCGUAGGCGGCCCGCUAAGUCGAACGUGAAAUCCCCCGAGCUCAACUCGGGAACUGCGUCCGAUACUGGUGGGCUUGAAUCCGGGAGAGGGAUGCGGAAUUCCAGGUGUAGCGGUGAAAUGCGUAGAUAUCAGGAGGAACACCGGUGGCGAAGGCGGGUCUCUGGGCCGAUACUGACGCUGAGGAGCGAAAGCGUGGGGAGCAAACAGG
rnacentral:rRNA from 1 species